rnacentral:rRNA from 1 species
CAGACUUGACAUCCUGUGAACCUCUUAGAAAUAAGAGGGUGCCUUCGGGAGCACAGAGACAGGUGCUGCAUGGCUGUCGUCAGCUCGUGUCGUGAGAUGUUCGGUUAAGUCCGGCAACGAGCGCAACCCUUGUCUUCAGUUGCCAGCACGUAAAGGUGGGAACUCUGAAGAGACUGCCCCGGUUAACGGGGAGGAAGGUGGGGAUGACGUCAAGUCCUCAUGGCCCUUAUGUCUGGGGCUACACACGUGCUACAAUGGUAUGUACAAAGGGCAGCAAGCAUGCGAGUGCAAGCCAAUCCCUUAAAGCAUAUCCCAGUCCGGAUUGGAGUCUGCAACUCGACUCCAUGAAGUUGGAAUCGCUAGUAAUCGUGGAUCAGCAUGCCACGGUGAAUACGUUCCCGGGCCU